AACGAACGCUGGCGGCAUGCCUAACACAUGCAAGUCGAACGAGACCUUCGGGUCUAGUGGCGCACGGGUGCGUAACGCGUGGGAAUCUGCCCUUGGGUUCGGAACAACAGUUGGAAACGACUGCUAAUACCGGAUGAUGACUUCGGUCCAAAGAUUUAUCGCCCAAGGAUGAGCCCGCGUAGGAUUAGCUUGUUGGUGAGGUAAAAGCUCACCAAGGCGACGAUCCUUAGCUGGUCUGAGAGGAUGAUCAGCCACACUGGGACUGAGACACGGCCCAGACUCCUACGGGAGGCAGCAGUGGGGAAUAUUGGACAAUGGGCGAAAGCCUGAUCCAGCAAUGCCGCGUGAGUGAUGAAGGCCUUAGGGUUGUAAAGCUCUUUUACCCGGGAUGAUAAUGACAGUACCGGGAGAAUAAGCCCCGGCUAACUCCCUGCCAGCAGCCGCAGUAAAAC
rnacentral:rRNA from 1 species